GCCACCUUAACUCAGCGGAAGAGUAGCGCACUUGUAAUGCGCAAGUCCCCGGUUCGAAUCCGGGAGGUGGCU
rnacentral:tRNA from 1 species